GGCUGGGGUGUAGCUCAGUGGUAGAGCACUUGCUGGGCAUGCUAGGGACCUGGGUUUGAUUCCCAGCAUGGGGUCA
rnacentral:tRNA from 1 species